AUGACGAAUCUUAGAUUUUUCGCCUCUCUCGCGACGGGAAGGCUGUCCUCGCGCCGGAUCUGGGGGCCGGUCAUAGGUCCGGCAAGGCACCAGCUCUCCAAGAAGAACAUCCCUGCUGGUGUGCGCGGAUUCGGCUCCUUUGACAGGUUGCCCAUUGGCCAAGUCAAAGACUGGUCACUUGGCACUGUUAUGUCCCUGGGUUCCUUGCCAGUCUUUGCUGGAGGCAUAUGGUAUCUCAAAACUAAUCCAGAGGAGCAGGGUGCUCAGAAGCCCACCGUUGAGGACCCGGAGGAGAAAGCCAUGAAGAAGAGAUUCGAGGAGUGGAUGGUUGUGCACAAGCGCAGAUACAAGAACGAGGAGGAGAAGGCACGGCGCUACGAGCUGUUCAAGGGGUGUGUCAAGCGGGUGAACGAGCUCAACGCCGCGUCACGGCCGGGUGAAGCCCGGUACAAACCAUACCGAUAUGCUGACUUUACCAAGGAAGAGAGGAGCAAAAUACACGGAAUCGUGGUCGAACCAUCUAUGUUCGACGAGUGGAACGAGGAGAAGAGGCGCAAAACACAAGGGGGCCAUGACGGCGGCGCCGACGGGGACGACUGGGAAGAAGAGAUGCGCCUGAUACAAAGGUGUCUUCGCACUGCGGCCCUUAAUGGCAAGGCACAAUGCAAAGCACAGCAGUCGUCCUAA
rnacentral:rRNA from 1 species